rfam:Agrilus planipennis Contig56523, whole genome shotgun sequence.
UUAUAUUAAAUAAACUACCUACAGAACGCUUUUGUCAACAUUGCUCAAAAGCAUUACAGGAUGAAGUCAACGAAUGAAGUAGAGCGGUUUUAGUCGGUAGAUCCGAGGACUUCUUCCUCGGGAAUCCGACACUACCCAGUCGUACGGACGUCUGGGUGUCUUUUUAAGAUUUCCCCUCUUCC